AAACCGCUGAACGAGUUGAACUUCUCCCUCAGAGCAGCAGGACACACUCAGGAAUGACUGAAGAUGUUGACUGACAAGGAAGAGGAGGACGGAGAAGACUCUCUGUCUCUGAGGAGUGACUGGUCCAAAGACUUUCCACCAUACUUCAGCAGUGAACCUGGACCUUCAGACACAAAAGAGAAGAAGAGCAGUGAUGUCUGUGAGGAGCAGCAGGACCAGGGUUCUUCAUCAGGACUGCAGCAGCUUCUAGAAG